UGCUCGUGCCUUUUAGGCAUCCUCUCCCAAGACUUCCAAGCCCGGUUGGUUCGCCAGCCGGGCUUUUUUCUUGGCCCGA
rfam:Erythrobacter sp. AP23 contig7, whole genome shotgun sequence.